rnacentral:rRNA from 1 species
UGGGGAAUAUUGGACAAUGGGCGAAAGCCUGAUCCAGCCAUGCCGCGUGUGUGAAGAAGGUCUUCGGAUUGUAAAGCACUUUAAGUUGGGAGGAAGGGCAUUAACCUAAUACGUUAGUGUUUUGACGUUACCGACAGAAUAAGCACCGGCUAACUCUGUGCCAGCAGCCGCGGUAAUACAGAGGGUGCAAGCGUUAAUCGGAAUUACUGGGCGUAAAGCGCGCGUAGGUGGUUUGUUAAGUUGGAUGUGAAAUCCCCGGGCUCAACCUGGGUACUGCAUUCAAAACUGACUGACUAGAGUAUGGUAGAGGGUGGUGGAAUUUCCUGUGUAGCGGUGAAAUGCGUAGAUAUAGGAAGGAACACCAGUGGCGAAGGCGACCACCUGGACUAAUACUGACACUGAGGUGCGAAAGCGUGGGGAGCAAACA